GCCGUUUCCUCAAAACACUAAGUCAGGACGGCGGAAAGAAGCCAACUUUAUGAAGCUGCUGAAAGAGGAGCUGUGAUUGGCUGCGGGCAGCCGGCGCGUGUCUGCUGUUGAUUAUGACAGGAUGCCAUCUACAGGUCAACGGUUUACAUCUGAGAUUUUUCUGAAUCACUGGAAGGAGAUUAAGCGGUGUCCAGCUGAGUAAACCACGUUAUCUGAUAGUGUUGCUAAAAUGAGUCUACGUCCUCUAUUCAAGAUCCGACUGGGCUCAGAAUCCAGCGCACAGUGAUUGUGUCUACACAGAAGUGCUUUUAAAAGUGCACAGGACGACUACGACCAUAAAAAAAAAAUAUCAGCUUCAGACCAGCAGAUUAUCUGUAGCUGCUUCGUUUCACCAAACUCUGUGGAGUAAUUUGUGUAGUUAAUCAUUUUUGAUGCUUUAUCCAUAAUUGAAGAAUCACAUCAGGGGAAUACUCGACAGUAGACACUCUACUGACAGAAUUAAACUUCCAAUGAACUGUGAGAGUGAAUAAUGGUUCAGCAAUUUUAAGAUAACUUAUUCUCAUAGACUCAAAUGAUGCAGUCACACUUUCAAUAAGAGUAAUUACAGCUGCAGACUCUUCUGUGAUGUUAAAACCAAACAGAGAACUUGACUCUGCUGCCAUUUGUUCAAGUCACUGCUAAUAAGAUUUUCAGACUGCACACUUCAAAUAGCCUCCUAAUUGAAACAGAGAAAUGGAUAAUGUUCAUCAUAAAAAAAAAAAAAUGUCUGAAGGCUGAUCAAAGCUGCCAAGUUGCCAUGUGACCUCACAGUCAGCAUGCGGUCCAUAAUACAAAGUGACAGUGUGCUGCGGGAACAUCAGGGUGCAGAUAAUAGCCACAGCAAACACGUCAGACGUCAAGUGUCAGAAAUCCUUAGUGUGGAGAGUUGUUUUAAAACAAUGGCAGCCCCAGUGUCGGAGGAAGUAUUCAGAUUAAAGUACUAGUAGCACAUUGUUAAAAUACUCUGUUACAAGUAAUUAUGUACAUAAAAUCCUAAAAUGUACCUAAAGUAUACAAAGUAAACCGAUUCCACAUAACGAAAAUCGGCGCUUGUGCUUGGAUUUUACUGUUGUGGUCGAGGUGGAGCUCGCUUAGAACUAUUUUGUAGAAGACCGCAACCAGUAAUUAUACUCAAUAUGGAUUUAACUGUUGAUUAUUUGCUACAUUAAUUGAUUGAUUGGUUUGUAAAAAAAAAUCUGUAAAUAGCAAUAAAUGCAGUCACAAUCACCCAAAGUGCCCAGAGUGACACCAUCGCAACGCUUGUUUUGUAUAUCCAAUCAACUGAUUAGUUUACUUUAUAAUUCAUUAAUGUAGUAAUUGGAAACUACUUUGAUAAUCGAUUUGAGUAAUUUCCUAAAGUAAAAAAGUCAAAAUUGUCUGAUUCCAGCUUCUUAAGUGUGAAUAUUUUCUGGUUCCUUUCCUCCUCUAUGACAGCAAACUGAAUAUCUUUGAGUUGUUGACAAAACAAGAAAUUUGAUUUCAGACGUUGGGUAAUGAAGUUCAACACUGAUCAACACUCUCUACCAUGAAGACAAUAAUGGAACAAUGAAAUGUUGUCAAAAAUAGUUCCUCAUCCGUUUUCUAAUUAUCAAUUACUUGUUUCAUCAUAUUUUAAAGUGUUAGGUUAUGGUUUGUAUACAAAAAUCUUAAUUUGUAAAGUAACUAGUAAAAAUAAAGUAAGAAUGUAACGAAACAUAAGGAAAGAAGGAAAAACUCAACAUUUGAACUUGAGUAUCUCUUUUACAGUUGUGUUCCACCUGUGGACAGCAUUAGGACAAAGGUUAAGAUCUGAUUUUAGAGAAAGACCAGGACAAACCCUGGUUAGAUGCCAAGAAUUGCAACAUGUCUCGUCCUGAUAGGGUUACAAUCAUGUGCUUCUUUAAAAAGGUAGUAAGAUCAAGUAUCAGGACGAAUUCAAUUCACGAUGACGCUUUACAUAGAAAUGAACACCUGCCUAAAUCCCUAUGAACUCAUCUGGGUGCCCUUUGCUUUCCUGAUAAUAAAUAGCAAGCAUAUGGAAUAAAACCUUAUCACACACUUUAAUUGGCAGAGAUCUGGAGAUCACUUGACUGUAGUAGUAAAUAGGUGGAGCAAGUUUAUCACGCUGCAGAGUGGUCACACAGCUCAAGGUUAAAGUCCUCACUCACACCAGUUGGAGUCAGAUGAGGUUUGGCAAGGAGAUAAAGGCAGACUGGACUAAUCCACCUCCCAUAUGGGCAACUCUGGUUUGUUUCCCUGCAGGAAUUCACUUGUGAAAAAUUAUCUGCUGAACUAUCAAUAAAUGUUAAACACCACCUGUAAAGCUCCUGACUUCAUGUCUGUCUAUCUGAGUGUGCCUCAGUUGAAUUAUUGUCAGCAGGUCAACUUUCUCAGCUGAUUUUGGCUCGACCCCAAUUACAACCUGGGAGACGUCUGCAGCUCUAAGCUUACAUUGGACACAUGAGGCUGCCAAAUAGCUUCCUUAAGCAACGCGACUGGGAACACGAGCUGCCGGGUCGCUCUGUAACGUCAUCCUUCAUAAAUAAGAUUACAUUUCAAAACCAGACAGGAGAUUCACUGUAAGGUUUGCGUUUUAUUUCUCUUUUUCCGGUAAGGUUCCUGUGUUCAGGGAAUGACAUUCUGGUGAGGGGCAAAACAAAUGCAGACAAAGCGUGGGCCAAGAGAAGAGUGCAUAACAGAUUCUGCCCGUACAACUAGUACAAAAUACUAGUUGGUCCCUAUAAAUAUAGUGUGGCAUUUAAGUCCUUCCAAAUGUACAAGAUAUGUUACAAUUCAACAUCACAACA